AGUUAAGAGUCAUUGGAUGCCUUUUAAUGUCUUUGCAUUCCAAUAUCUUUUUCUAUGCCUGAAAUAUUUAAAUGAAAUCAUCACUUAAUGCUUAGGCAGCCCACUACAUAAACAUUUCUGUUACUGCUGAUAAUGGUGGCCACUUAUGUGACAGACUAAAUUGUAUUUAUAACAACACAGCUUUUCAAGGCCCUUUGUGGGAGAGAGCAAAAAUAAAUAUGAUCAAUGACUAUUUUGACUUGAAUCAGAGAGGGAAAAACCAGCCUGCAGAACUCACCUGAAUUCCCAGCUUUCCUGAAGAGUACAUGUAAGUCUGUUUUUCAAACUCUGAGCAGUGUUUUACCUCCGGACUGAAGCAGGAGUCAUUCACUUGCUCCACUGCCUAAGAGCAGGUUUUCUGCUUAGCUGCUACUCCAUACUCUGUCUUAUUCACUGACACAUCAGCUGAGAGACCAUAAGACUACAAUCCCUGGAUAUCGUUUUUAAAAGGUUUAUGUCAGAACUGUAAUGCGAGAGAUAAAUCUUCAAUGCAAAUCCAGAGAAGACUCUCAUUUCUUAAGUCAACAUUCAAAACAGACAAAGGAGAAAGAAGACAGCACACACUGCCCGGCCCGGCAGUCAAUGGUACAUGCUUGUUGGGCUCUAUAGAGGUGUGAGCAAUGAGAAAAUAUGGUUGAGAGAGGCACAAGACAAAUACUUUCCACAGCCAUUAGCUGAGCUACUGCAUGCUACUCACCAAGAUUCCUCUAUGAUCUCUUAAUUUUUUUAGAAAAUGUUCUUAUCUCAGCACACACUACUAUCCACAUUGUUGCUGAAUGGCUCAGCCAUAUGCAGAUGCUUCUCCUGUCAGUGAAAGUCUCCAGUUAAAAUAGGUCCCUGUGUGCUGUUAUGGAAAUGAGACAGAGAAAAUAUAAUCCCGUGGACCAAUUAAAACACCUAUGUGUGUGACCUAGGAUCUUUGGUGCUUCUAUGCCAAAAUACCAAAUUGUGCUGGUUAGGUUUUUUUGGCAACUUGAAACAAACUAGAGUUAUCUAGGAAGAGAGAAGCUCGGCCGAGGAAUUGCCUCUCUCAGAUUGAACCAUGGAUGUGGCAUUCUUUUGAAUAAUGGUUAAGAAGACCCAGCCCACUCUAGGUGGUCACACUCAUAGAUUGUAAAAGAAAGUAAUCUGAGCAAGCCAUAGAGAGCAAGCCAACGGCAGCACUCCUCCACCCAUGACUGCAUCAUCUGCAGAACCAGGCUCCUGCCUUGAGCUCCUCCCAUAGUUUCCCUGUAUGGUGAACUCUUGAAAAUGAAAUAAGCCUUUGCCUUCCCAAUUUGUUUUUGGUCACAGUGUUUUUAUCACGGAAACAAAAAAGGUAAAAGACACUAAUAUAACAAAGAAUUAGUUUCCAGUAACUGUUCAGUUUAACAGAUAUCUUUUAGUUGAAUUUUAAGUAAUUAUGUUACAAAAUUUUUCUUGGUGAUUUCUGGAAAAAAAGAUAUGUUAGCUUUCAGUAUAUGAAGAAAUAUAUAGGAUAUAGAGGAAUAUUUUUAAAGAGGUUGGAUUGGGGUCAUACAGAAAAAGAAGCACAAAGAAUAAAGAGAAGAAAUAAAGAGACAAUGUAACUCCUCUUUCAAGUACAAAGUACCAAAUACUGGACAUCAUGGGGUUACAGCCUGAUGUCCUCAAAUCUCUAGGGAAAUUUUAUGUUGUGUUGAUGUCAUGAGCAAGAGUGAGACAUUUGCAGCAGUCACACUGCUAUUCAGGUUUGGUUGAUGAUGCAUGAAACAAAGCUAAUAUCUCAAGAAAAUCAGUCAGACCAUUUUUUGGCUGUCUCGUACACAUAACAGUUAUGUUCAUUCUUCGAGGAAGUAGCCAAUACCAUUGUGUCUAAAGAGUCAAUGUGUAUACCUGAAUAUAAAAAAUAUGUAUGAUAAAUAUUAUAGAUCAGUAUGCUUUCAUUUAUAUGCUUUCAGCUAAAGGUCUGCUAUUAUAGGUAUGAUCUUAGCGGUCAUCGUAAAAGCAGCCUAUUGUAGGCUCGUUCUACACAAGGUUUCAUGCCUUUCAAUUUCAGAACAUUCCAUAUCUGUGAAGGGCCAUCAAAUGAGACACAAUUAAAUAAGUUAUUCUUGAAUUGUAUUGAAAGAUGCAACGAGUAAUCCCCAUACUUCAUAAUUCUUCCAUAAUUUAGAUAGAACCACUUAUUACCUAAAAUUAGAUGACACAUUGUCACCAAGGCAGAGACUUAUGCAUUUACACAUACAUACAUGGACACACAUACACACAUAGGAACACACACAUGCACAUGAUAUAAACCAUCGUCAUUCCAUGGUAUACUCAGAGAAAUAAUCUCAUAGAGCUUCCUUAUAUAUCUACUUGUCUGUUAUGUAAAUUGUGUAAUGUUCAAAGAAAGCAUAGAUACACACACACUCAUACAUACGUGUGUGUGUGUGUGUGUGUGUGUGUGUGUGUGUGUGUAUCCUCUCAUUAUCCUAAAUCAUCUCUGAGUUACUUGAAAAACUAAAUACAAUAUGAAUGAUGUGUGGUUCAUUGUUAUUCUGCGUCGUUUGGGAAAAAUGCCUACCCCUCCUAAUAUUUCAAAUAUUUUAUCUGUGACUGUGGAAACUGUAAGUACAGGGGAGGGUACCUGUGAUUAGGAGCACAAUUGAAGGCAAAUGAUUUAAUAUUAACAAAGGACGUAGACAUUUUUACAACAGUUAUAAGUGCUUAUGUUAAUGGACUUCUAAACUGAGGAGAAUCUCUACUUAACUCCUUCAUUCAGAAAAAUAAAUCUGCAUGUCAAAAAUGGAGCUGAACGUAUUUUUUUUUUGCUAAUAAAACAGAAAUAAAGUAGUGCACAUGUAUCACCUUCAUAGUGCAAGCAAGUAACAAAGAAGACAGCAGGGUGUGAUAUUUUUUCUUCUGGCUUCUGACUUACAUUCGUCUAAUGACUUGCCGAGAUGGGGAGCUUUUUAAAGCUCUCCUCCUCAUGUCUUAUUCAGCAUACAUUCUGAGGACAGCUGGAGGAGCCUGUAGCAAUGUAACAAGCUACAUUAAUAACUGAAGAUGAGCAAUGAUGGGCAUUCUUCAAGGACCGCAGAUGAGAACGCCAUGCCAAGUAUGGCUUUCAGCACCGCAGCAACGUCUGAUGUGCUGGAAGAACUCAUCCUUGAAGCUACAUGCCUGGCAGUUUGGUUGGUCCACCUGAAGGAAAGUGGGGGAAAAGGGGUUUGUUGGUAGGGGUUUGUUUAAUUUGACUUUUCUUUCCUUAUUUACCCUUGGGAGAAUUUUAGGUGGCGAGAAGUCUGUUUUUACUUGCAAAUGUCAGGCAAUCUGAAAGAGGCCAGAGUUUCAUUAUCGAAGAUGACAGGCAUAAAAAGGGGAAGAAUCUUGAAUGGAAAACAAAUUGAAUUUUUCAUGAAAAUUGGAGAAUGCUUUCCGGAACUUGGCGCAAAACAGAGGACUUGCUUUUCUUCAUGGGACUUUCUCUUUUCUGCUUGGUUUGGGAAGUCCAACCCUAAUGUUCUACCUGAAGAAUGUCAGGUAACCCUUGGGGAAAUUACAGAUUCAGUCUCCUGGGAUGCAUCUCCAUGCAAAAGAGGCUUCCCCAGAAUCUUAAACCUCAGCCAAGGUUACCCUAAGAAGAACCCCUUCCCACUCUCCAAGGUUCAUAUACAUAUGUGUUGUGUUUAUGUAUAUGUAUUGUGUUAUGUAUAUGUCCUUGAUUAGCUCCAAAUAAAGUGUAUGAGACAAGUUGUUUCACUGAUUCUGAUCUAAGAGAGCUAUUUUCUGGAAGUGUUGUAACACUAAACUCUUCGGAGGUGCUUUUCAUCCUAGCAUUCACUGCUGGACCAGCAUCCUGCUGACUCACCUACCUGUUCCAGACUCUGCUUUGUCCUUUACCACCCAGAGUGCAUUGGGAUCUGUGUG
rnacentral:sRNA from 1 species